rnacentral:misc_RNA from 1 species
AAGUCGUAACAAGGUUUCCGUAGGUGAACCUGCGGAAGGAUCAUUACAGAGUUCAUGCCCUUCGGGGUAGACCUCCCACCCUAUGUAUACAUUGCCUUUGUUGCUUUGGCGGGCCGCCUUUUGGCCACCGGCUCCGGCUGGUGCGCGCCCGCCAGAGAAACCCAAACCCUGUCUUACAGUGUCGUCCGAGUACUAUAUAAUAGUUAAAACUUUCAACAACGGAUCUCUUGGUUCUG